rnacentral:lncRNA from 1 species
AUGAUGUCUACUUGGGCUGAAGGCUCAGAGCGCUCGUUCCUUUGGACACCCCUCAGCAGACGAAUGAAUCCCUGCCUGCUUCCCUAUGGCAAGGCCCUCUACAGCUACGAGGGGAAGGAACCUGGCGACCUCAAGUUCAACAAGGGGGACAUCAUCGUCCUGCGGCGCAAGGUGGAUGAACAGUGGUACCAUGGCGAGCUGCACGGCACACAGGGCUUCCUCCCAGCCAGCUAUAUCCAGUGCAUCCAGCCCUUGCCACAUGCCCCGCCCCAGGGAAAAGCACUUUAUGAUUUCGAGAUGAAGGACAAAGACCAAGACAAGGACUGUCUGACCUUCACCAAGGUAAGGUGGGCUCUGGGGUGGGUCCCGCCAGCCCGUGCAGCCUCUGUCCACCCAGGGCUCUUCCCAGCCACAGGCCUGCAGCCAGCCAGUGUCUUUCCUCAGAUUCUGAAUCCUGGCUCCUCCCAGAACCCUGAGCAAAUGACCCAGCAGCCUCCCUCCCUGUGCCUCCAUGAAUGGGGUGGUGGUUUUUUUGAUUGAAUGCUAUGGAGGGCAGCAGCCUGAC